GGCACUUUGGCCGAGUGGUCUAAGGCGCCGUGUUCAGGUCCCCAGCCGGAAUAGUCCGGUUGUUCUGAUUCGCGGUCUAGUAAUAGGCGAGGGUUCGAAUCCCUCAGGUGUCA